UGAAAUCUGCUUGUUCAAGCAUUUGGGAGAGUUUUUAAGGCAGCAACAUGUUACCAUGAAUGCACAUACAGGUCUAAGUAAAACAAAAACUUCAAAGAACAGCUACAAUGAAUUUUGAAACUAUAGGGCCAAAGAAUAUCACCAGCUUUCUCAUUUUCUUCCUAAAAAGAUUCUCAAAUAUCUAAUUAAAUGUCAGCAUUGAUUUCUUUCACAUUUUAAAGUUUGAAUUUAGUGCCUCUGCUUAUAAUAAAUAAAGACUUCUAAUAAAAAAAAGGCAAAGUAAAUAUUGUUUCAUCAGCAAAGUCAUGAAUGACUUGAAGAGUUACUAUAUUAACCAUUUCAGGAAGACUGAUUCACUAUUAUGGGAUUUUGAUAAAGACAACUGAUAUAAUUUGUAUAAUUAAUCUAUGUUAACUCAAAGUGAUUCUUAUCUUCCAAAGGAAGUUGGUCAAGAUAAGAAGCAUGGAUUUCCUGCCCCUCCUAUCUCUCAGAUGAACCCAUGUUUGAAGAACAUCUAUACUGGACAAGAUUAUGAAGACCGUAUUAAAGGAGCUGAAAGACUUCCUUUCAAAUGAAGCUAUUAGCUACGUGGCAUUUAUCAAUGUCCUACUGCAUGUGUCUCUUGACCAACUGAUGCUGUGAUGAAAGUUACUGUUUUGUACACAUUUACAUGAAGGAGAUUUGAAUAAAAAUAACUGAGCUGAC